AUCAACUUUCGAUGGUAGGAUAGAGGCCUACCAUGGUGGUAACGGGUAACGGGGUGUUAGGGCACGACACCGGAGAGGGAGCCUGAGAAACGGCUACCACAUCCAAGGAUGGCAGCAGGCGCGCAGAUUACCCAAUCCCGACACGGGGAGGUAGUGACAAUAAAUAACAAUACGGGGUUCUUUAGGAUCUCGUAAUUGGAAUGAGUACAAUUUAAAUCUCUUAACGAGGAACAAUUGGAGGGCAAGUCUGGUGCCAGCAGCCGCGGUAAUUCCAGCUCCAAUAGCGUAUAUUAAAGUUGUUGCAGUUAAAAAGCUCGUAGUUGAAUUUCGGGGUCAGUAGGUCGGUCGUGCCACUGGUAUGAACUGGUUUUACUGAUUCCUCCCUCUUGAAGAACUGUAAUGCCAUUAAUUUGGUGUUGCAGGGAAUCAGGACUGUUACUUUGAAAAAAUUAGAGUGUUUAAAGCAGGCUUUAGCUUGAAUACAUUAGCAUGGAAUAAUGAAAUAGGACGUUUGAUCCUAUUUUGUUGGUUUCUAGGAUUGACGUAAUGAUUAAUAGGGAUAGUUGGGGGCAUUAGUAUUCAAUUGUCAGAGGUGAAAUUCUUGGAUUUAUUGAAGACUAACUACUGCGAAAGCAUUUGCCAAGGAUGUUUUCAUUAAUCAAGAACGAAAGUUAGGGGAUCGAAGACGAUCAGAUACCGUCGUAGUCUUAACCAUAAACUAUGCCGACUAGGGAUCGGAUGAUGUUAAUUUUUUAAUGACUCAUUCGGCGCCUUACGGGAAACCAAAGUGUUUGGGUUC
rnacentral:rRNA from 1 species